rnacentral:rRNA from 1 species
UACGUAGGGGGCAAGCGUUGUCCGGAAUCAUUGGGCGUAAAGCGCGUGUAGGCGGUUCGGUAAGUCUGCUGUGAAAGUCCAGGGCUCAACCCUGGGAUGCCGGUGGAUACUGUCGGACUAGAGGACGGUAGAGGGGGGUGGAAUUCCCGGUGUAGUGGUGAAAUGCGUAGAGAUCGGGAGGAACACCUGUGGCGAAGGCGGCCCCCUGGGCCGGCCCUGACACUGAGACGCGAAGGCGUGGGGGAGCGAACGG